rnacentral:rRNA from 1 species
UACGUAGGCCUCAAGCGUUAUCCGGAUUUAUUGGGCGUAAAGCGAGCGCAGGUGGUUUAAUAAGUCUGAUGUAAAAGGCAGUGGCUCAACCAUUGUGUGCAUUGGAAACUGUUAGACUUGAGUGCAGUAGAGGAGAGUGGAAUUCCAUGUGUAGCGGUGAAAUGCGUAGAUAUAUGGAGGAACACCGGUGGCGAAAGCGGCUCUCUGGACUGUAACUGACACUGAGGCUCGAAAGCGUGGGUAGCAAACAGG